rnacentral:rRNA from 1 species
UACGUAGGCAGCAAGCGUUGUUCGGAGUUACUGGGCGUAAAGAGUGUGUAGGCGGUUGGGUAAGUUUGGUGUGAAAUCUCCCGGCUUAACUGGGAGGGUGCGCUAAAGACUGCCUGGCUAGAGUGUGGGAGAGGAAAGCGGAAUUCCUGGUGUAGCGGUGAAAUGCGUAGAUAUCAGGAGGAACACCUGCGGUGUAGACGGCUUUCUGGACCAUAACUGACGCUGAGAUACGAAAGCGUGGGUAGCAAACAGG